CUAAGGGGGGCUGCAGUGAGGAAUAUUGCACAAUGGGGGGAACCCUGAUGCAGCAACGCCGCGUGGAGGAUGACGCAUUUCGGUGUGUAAACUCCUUUUAUAUGUCAAGAAAAUGACGGUAGCAUUUGAAUAAGCACCGGCUAACUCCGUGCCAGCAGCCGCGGUAAUAAGGAGGGUGCAAGCGUUACUCGGAAUCACUGGGCGUAAAGGACGCGUAGGCGGGUUGGAAAGUCAGGUGUGAAAUCCUACAGCUUAACUGUAGAACUGCACUUGAAACUUCUAAUCUAGAGUAUGGGAGGGGGAGAUGGAAUUAGUGGUGUAGGGGUAAAAUCCGUAGAUAUCACUAGGAAUACCUAAAGCGAAGGCGAUCUCCUGGAACAUUACUGACGCUAAGGCGUGAAAGCGUGGGGAGCAAACAGGAUUAGAUACCCUCGUAGUC
rnacentral:rRNA from 1 species